rnacentral:rRNA from 1 species
UACGUAGGGGGCGAGCGUUGUCCGGAAUUACUGGGCGUAAAGGGUACGCAGGCGGUUUGAUAAGUCAGGUGUAAAAGGCAUUGGCUCAACCAAUGUAAGCAUUUGAAACUGUCAGACUUGAGUAUAGGAGAGGUAAGUGGAAUUCCUAGUGUAGCGGUGAAAUGCGUAGAUAUUAGGAGGAACACCAGUGGCGAAGGCGACUUACUGGACUAAAACUGACGCUGAGGUAC